UUAUAGUAUAAUCAAAUAAGGUUUAAUUUCUA
rnacentral:rRNA from 1 species